AGGUAUCUUGCUGGUUUUCAAGGGGAUGACUCUAUACACUUUAGACAAGAAUAAGAGUACAUCGUUAAAGUGUAUAGAGUCAUCCCCUUGAAAACCUGCAAGAUACC